rnacentral:rRNA from 1 species
UUGCGUCCCAUUAGCUAGUUGGUGAGGUAACGGCCCACCAAGGCAAUGAUGGGUAGCCGGCCUGAGAGGGUGAACGGCCACAAGGGGACUGAGACACGGCCCUUACUCCUACGGGAGGCAGCAGUGGGGAAUAUUGGACAAUGGACCACAAGUCUGAUCCAGCAA